AGAGUUUGAUCCUGGCUCAGGAUGAACGCUGGCGGCGUGCCUAACACAUGCAAGUCGAACGAAGCAUUUUAGAUGAAGUUUUCGGAUGGAUUCUGAGAUGACUGAGUGGCGGACGGGUGAGUAACACGUGGAUAACCUGCCUCACACUGGGGGACAACAGUUAGAAAUGACUGCUAAUACCGCAUAAGCGCACAGUACCGCAUGGUACAGUGUGAAAAACUCCGGUGGUGUGAGAUGGAUCCGCGUCUGAUUAGCCAGUUGGCGGGGUAACGGCCCACCAAAGCGACGAUCAGUAGCCGACCUGAGAGGGUGACCGGCCACAUUGGGACUGAGACACGGCCCAAACUCCUACGGGAGGCAGCAGUGGGGAAUAUUGCACAAUGGGCGAAAGCCUGAUGCAGCGACGCCGCGUGAGUGAAGAAGUAUUUCGGUAUGUAAAGCUCUAUCAGCAGGGAAGAUAAUGACGGUACCUGACUAAGAAGCCCCGGCUAACUACGUGCCAGCAGCCGCGGUAAUACGUAGGGGGCAAGCGUUAUCCAGAUUUACUGGGUGUAAAGGGAGCGUAGACGGCAUGGCAAGUCUGAAGUGAAAACCCAGGGCUCAACCCUGGGACUGCUUUGGAAACUGUCAAGCUAGAGUGCAGGAGAGGUAAGUGGAAUUCCUAGUGUAGCGGUGAAAUGCGUAGAUAUUAGGAGGAACACCAGUGGCGAAGGCGGCUUACUGGACUGUAACUGACGUUGAGGCUCGAAAGCGUGGGGAGCAAACAGGAUUAGAUACCCUGGUAGUCCACGCCGUAAACGAUGAAUGCUAGGUGUUGGGGAGCAAAGCUCUUCGGUGCCGCCGCAAACGCAUUAAGCAUUCCACCUGGGGAGUACGUUCGCAAGAAUGAAACUCAAAGGAAUUGACGGGGGCCCGCACAAGCAGUGGAGUAUGUGGUUUAAUUCGACGCAACGCGAAGAACCUUACCAAGUCUUGACAUCCCUUGACAGACAUAGAAAUAUGUUUUCUCUUCGGAGCAAGGAGACAGGUGGUGCAUGGUUGUCGUCAGCUCGUGUCGUGAGAUGUUGGGUUAAGUCCCGCAACGAGCGCAACCCUUAUGGUCAGUUACUACGCAAGAGGACUCUGGCCAGACUGCCGUUGACAAAACGGAGGAAGGUGGGGAUGACGUCAAAUCAUCAUGCCCUUUAUGACUUGGGCUACACACGUACUACAAUGGCGUUAAACAAAGAGAAGCGAGACCGCGAGGUGGAGCAAAACUCAGAAACAACGUCCCAGUUCGGACUGCAGGCUGCAACUCGCCUGCACGAAGUCGGAAUUGCUAGUAAUCGUGGAUCAGCAUGCCACGGUGAAUACGUUCCCGGGCCUUGCACUCACCGCCCGUCA
rnacentral:rRNA from 1 species